rnacentral:lncRNA from 1 species
AUUCCUGUUAUGAUUCUGUAUUCAGUGUUUCGUGUUCCGUGUUCCAUGUCUAUUACGAAUCUGGGUGCUUUCCUCUGCUUUAUAUUCCUGCAAUCCUGCUUUACUCUGUUUUAUAUUCCCUAUGGGUGCCGUAUCUAUGUUAUGUCAUCUGCUGCUGUGCUGUACUAUGUGUUUGUGUGAUAUCUCGUGACUUGAGCCGGG